AGGAUGAUUACCAGACAUCAUGCAACCACCCAAACUGCAAGGACACACAAUUUUAAACGCCAGAAGAGUGGAUGUAUGUCAUAAAUGAAUUUGUACUGAAACAAAGACUGGCUAGAAUUGGAUUAAUGAAUUAGAAAAGACUGUGUGUGUGAUAGUGUACACAUACUCCAUGUCAUUUUCCAACGUAGAAAAGGAGCAGCAAUGUGCGUUACACUGGUUUCAGUCCUGGUCGUCCAUGCAGAAAGGUGAUUUCUUGAAAGACUUGUUGGAAAAGGCUGUUCCAUGUUACGUCGACACCCUGUUUGAUGCAAUGCAUUCACUGAAUGUUCAGGAUAAGCCCCCUAGUAUAUUUCAGUGUCAGAUCAAGCUGUUUACCCAGUGGUUUGAGGAAUGGUCAGUAAAAGACAGAAAUGAAUUCAUGAAUAAACUCCAGGAAAUUGACCCCAUGUUCAUCAAAAAAUUCAAUGAAGAAGUAAAUAAAACGAGUCAUUGAAAAUGUGGUGUGAAAUUUAUACCAGAAUGUCAGAUGGAAUAAUUUUUCAGUGUGAUUUGUACAAGUGCCUCAAAUAAGACUGUUUCUCAAAAGUGCAUUUUAGAUUUGUAAUGAUUGUGCCAACAAAACUAUAGACAUUUUGAUCAUAUCAGCAUGCUCUUGAACUUUUGAAUGUUUGUCACAGCUCUUGGAAGCAAGGAGGACAUCACUCAUGAAUUUGAUGCUUUAUGUUAUAUUUUUGUAUUUUCUUCUUGAAAUUAAAAGUCUAAAAACA